AACUAGCCAGAAAACUAAAAACCAGAAUGUGAGAAAAAUGAACAAUAAUUUUGUAAAAAUUGAACAGCGGGAAAACCGGAAAUGUAAGGAUCGACAACAGCAGUACAUGUGAUUUUAUGUGCCUGUAAUUCCGUGCCCUACAGUAAAGGAAACGGGAAAGAGCAGGAACCAAUCAAAGAUGGGCAUUCGGCUGAACCAAUGAGAGUUUGACUAUUCAUUGUGACGUCAUCUAGGUUGGUCUAUUGCAGAACUGCCCUUUUUUCCGGGUUCUUGCCUCGUGGAGGGAGGAUGUUUGGCUAGGGUAAGGAUGGAGGUAGUUUAAGGAAUGCUGAGCUAAGGGGCCUCACGGGUCAAGAGUAGCUGUUUAUGCUUACUUAAGUAUGUUGGUCAAGUGUCAGAGUUUCCUGUAUGGUGAGCAUGAUUGAAGGCACGAGAACUGAAUAAAUAUGGAAUUGUGCCAUAGCCCAGAAUGGAAUCCCAGACUUCUUGAGAAAUCAAGAAGUCUCUCUGGGGUAGCCAAGAGUCAGAUCUCUGGAGAGUGACACCCAAGUUUCUUUUCCCUUAACUAUUACUUGGAAGAUUUGGUAGACAAAGAAUUUGCAAAAAGGGGAAUCCUCUGAAAUUGUUUGGUUUAGCAAGAGCAUGUGUAAAUUGUAUCCAUGAUAUUCUGUAUGUUUCUUUUUCCUUGUCUGUAGUAAUAAAUGUAUAAUUUAUGCUUGAAUGAAA